UUGGUGUAUGUAAAUCUCGGGAAUCCGCUGAUCAGCUCCUCAGAUCGUCUCGUUCAACUCGCCUACAAUUCUGAGAGUUUGUUAGGUAGGGCUCGUGCCAACCAUCACUAUGCGUGAUUGAAAUAAUUAUUUAUGACAACACUUGGGUUAAUUACACAUUUAUUAACGGUCUCCUUCUAGUUCUCGAUGGUAGGUUUACAAUCGUGGUACAGAUUGGUGUUAAUCACUAUCGCAGUGACAAACUGUUAACAAGUCUCGAAGGUUCUGAAUGACUUAUAAUGAUUUUAUUCUAGGAUUUCGGUAGAGGUCUGAUCUGUUCUCUAUGAUGUCUGAAGUUCUUUUGCUUAUUCUGUUUUUGGGAAGGUUGACUUAGAGGGAAAAUAGGAGGAGUUCAAAAGGAGUCGCGGUUUCUCGCGGGUCUCGGAUGAUUGGUUGAGGAUGAUGAAAAAAUUGGGGGUAAGGUUUCUGGUUCGUGCGUGGGAUCUCGGUGGUGGAUUGGCGCGAGGUGGUUGGUUAAGAGAAGCAAGCGGCGAAGCGCUGACUGGUCUUGUUUUCGUUAAAAUAAGGGCGCUAUCCUGAAUUCUGGGAAUAGGGGUUUCUUUCUCUGUGAGCUAUCCGUGAUUUAUCUUCCCUCGUUUCCGGUGUUUUGUCUUUUUGGUUAUCUUAACUGUUGCAGGUUUAUUAUUUUGGGUUAUUACGGUUGAAUGGGAAAAAAUAUAUAUAUAACAUGUAUGUUAUGAAUUUGACUGAUGAAAUAACGGUUAAUCUAGCGUGUGAGGACUGUUGAUAUAAGAAUUUGGACGUUGUGAUGGUAACUAAGUGCGUUGGUAUUAAUCUACGACUAUCGGUAAGAGCACGUAGGGCUCUCUUAUGGUAACUGCACGCUGGUCAGGUAGAGCGCAGAGAGGGCGCCGCCGUGGAUACCGGCUGGCACGUAACAAGGAUAAUGAUACGCAAUUUGCGUGUAUAACCUAAAACUUAUCAUUCUUUGCCUCUAACGAAAAUCUCUACCGACAUAAUAAUUGAAAAGCGAUAAUGAGAUCUUUUGACAAAUUACUCUGAAUAUAAAUUAUUCUUUAUUCUGCUUUCGACUUUAGAUAUAGAACGUUAUUGUCAGACUUCCCGUCAAAUGUUUGGGGAUACAUAUUUUAGCUACAAUAGUCCGAAAAUAAAGUUUGAAUCGUGAAAUAUGUUACCUAGUGGAAAAAAUAACUGGUUAAGGUUACUGCAGUUAUAGUUUAUAAAUCUGAUCAGAAAAUUCAAUUUUACGAAUAUGAAUAAUCACAUCAACAUUUGUGAAGUAGUAUUCCGAAACAAGACAGAAAAAAUUAUGCCAAUUGUGAUUCAGCUAAGAUUGUAUUAAAGGAUCUUUAAAGUGACUACACAACUUAGUUGGCGUGCGGAAAGUUUGCUGUAUAAUUUUACCAGUAACACUGUUGAAAGCUACAAUGCUAUCGUCAGAAAGUUCAACAAAGAAAAGCGUAUUCAUUGCCGAACAGGACAUUCCUGUAACACUCAGUGCGCUGGGGAUGUUGUACAAUUCAAAAUACCAGAGUCGUACUCAAAGUUGAGUGUUACGAUGGAAAAGAAUCCGACUACCGAAUUUCAACUACAAGCAAUAUUUUUAAUCAUCUCAAUUAUGAUAUGAAAUUAAGGAACGCAAUAAAACUAAAAAAGAUGAAGUACUUUGAUCUUCAAAAAACUGCUGUGCCACGUAUAUACUGAACAUGAUUGAGAGCUGCAGCUUAUUUACUUGAUGGCUUGAACACAGCCUGGAAGAUCGAAAAGGCACCGAAUGAAUCCAGUAAUGGUUCCAAGAAAGCACUGAGUUGAAAAUGGACAAAAUUGUACGAAGUGAGUACUGCAAGACAACUUUGAGGGAGUCUAGAAUGUGUACGGUAACAGCUCGAAAAUGGUGUGAUGUGGGAAAACUAAAACCCUAAAGGUGAUAGUCUGCAGUAUGGAAAUGCGACGAAGAUGGUAUGGAGUGACUGUACAGAGCUUACAAUUAGUGAUCAUACUGGAUGACAGGACCUCUGACGCUGAGGGUUGAUUGAUGCAUGUCAGGUACACGCUGGAUUUUGAGAGGGCCAUCGGCUUGACAAUACAAGAAGCAAAUCAUGUAGCAUUAUUUAGUAUAAUUAUUAGACUCAUACUUAAAAAAGUCAUUUUUGUAUUUGAACCGGCACAGCACUUCCUGGAUCGGUUAAAAAGGAAUUAGAAAAGAUUGGCCUAAAAUUUGAACAAUCUAGUUUAACUAAAACGGGUGCCUGUGAGCAUGAAUUCAUUUUGAGUUUUGAAUUUGGGCAGGGUCGCUAAUAAUCACUGAUGAUGAAAAAUCUAUGUGAAAAAUGAACUACUGCAUCAGCUAUUUGAACAAUAUUUCCAUUCUAGCCGGGAAAUGAGGAAGAAAACAUAGCUUUGUACGUUGACACUCCUGAAACAAUUCAAACCAUGGCAGAAAAAUUCUUGGAAUAUUGAGGAUAAAAAAAAGAUGAAUCAUUUAUAAUGCAAUCACAAAUCAAUCAGUCAUUCCCAAUUCGCACUCAUUAUUCAUUACUUGAAGUUGGCGAUCGAUCAUCGUCAUCGAGUGUAUUUGUUUAUCUCCAAUAUUCGAAGAAUUUUCUCUUCUUUUAUUUGUACCCAAUCUGGAUAUCUUUUCCAGAUAAGCUUUCUAAGGACCACUCUAAUGAUAUAUGAUAUUUGUGUUGAACUAUUUUUGAAAACAUUGUUUGCAAAUUGUUUUAACUAAUAGUAAGUGGGAUAAAAAAAUGUACAAUUAAUUAUCCUGUAUACUUCGAUACUAAUAUAAAUGCGUACUUCUGUUCUAUUUCAAAAUAUUGAUGGAUCUAUUUGGUAAUCCUAUUCUUUUUAAAGACCAGUGUCAGGCUACGUUAUUAUGUCGAAUAGUGACAUACUUCAGUGUAAGCAAUUAUUACUAUGAAUUAUCAAUAAGUUUGUCAUUGACUUAUUCUUUUGAAUUGAACAAGCUGUUACAUACGUUGAUUAGAAAUGAUGUAGUUUUCAGUUCUGGAACACAAUACAGAAAUAAAAGCAAAAAAACUA
rnacentral:lncRNA from 1 species